GACGAACGCUGGCGGCGUGCCUAAUACAUGCAAGUUGAGCGCUGAAGGUUGGUACUUGUACCGACUGGAUGAGCAGCGAACGGGUGAGUAACGCGUGGGGAAUCUGCCUUUGAGCGGGGGACAACAUUUGGAAACGAAUGCUAAUACCGCAUAAAAACUUUAAACACAAGUUUUAAGUUUGAAAGAUGCAAUUGCAUCACUCAAAGAUGAUCCCGCGUUGUAUUAGCUAGUUGGUGAGGUAAAGGCCCACCAAGGCGAUGAUACAUAGCCGACCUGAGAGGGUGAUCGGCCACAUUGGGACUGAGACACGGCCCAAACUCCUACGGGAGGCAGCAGUAGGGAAUCUUCGGCAAUGGACGAAAGUCUGACCGAGCAACGCCGCGUGAGUGAAGAAGGGUUUCGGAUCGUAAAACUCUGUUGGUAGAGAAGAACGUUGGUGAGAGUGGAAAGCUCAUCAAGUGACGGUAACUACCCAGAAAGGGACGGCUAACUACGUG
rnacentral:rRNA from 1 species